rnacentral:snRNA from 1 species
UUCUUUUUUUUGUUUAUGACUACCAUUUGUAUUUUCGUUUGUAAAAAGCAUUAAUAAAAAUUCUGUUCUUAUCAGCUUAAUAUCUGAUACGGGUCCUAUUUGGACCCAAGAUAUUAAACUCAUUUUUGGAAUUGGGCGGAGUGCUUGAAGCUUGCUUCACCUCCGCCACGGGUUGGCCCGGUAUUGCACUGCCUCCGGGAUCGGCCCACUCACC